rnacentral:rRNA from 1 species
AUGUCCUUGUUGCUGAGCCUAGCAGCGCAACAGUCGGGGACAAGGGGAAGGAGCAGGCCGACCCGACCGCAUCUCUUUGCACGAGGACUGGAGGAGCAGGUCGCGAGGGAAGCCGGCACGGCCAGCGGCGGCGCUGCACAGGGACGCCCGCCUCCGGUUUUCUAUCCUGUCUCCCAAUCCCCCCUCCCUCCUCCUCGCCCCGAGGAAUUGGGCAAUGGCACGGGGGUGGAACUGGCCGAGGAAGAGGGCGACCGUGAGGGGUUGGAGGCCAAGGAAGAGGGCGACAACGCAAGGGUGAACGAGGGUUGUGGACUUUCUCUUCUCCUCUUGUUGGCUUGCUCUCUGAUCAAGCCAUGGAAGGUACGUCUCCAUCUCUUGGCUCCACAAGGGAUAUGUGGAGAGAGCUUUACUAUUGGCAGUGGCUGCAUCAUUUCGACAAGUGGCAUGAUUGAUCUUUGCUAUGUGGAUCGAUGGCAUGAUCUCAACUAG